rnacentral:tRNA from 1 species
UCGUCCGCAGUGCAGCUGGUCAGCGCCUUGGUGAGAAACCAGGAGGUCCAGGGAUCAAGUCCCAACGGAUCCA